GCGGAGUGUCGGUGCUGUGCGAAAGUGAU
rnacentral:miRNA from 1 species